rnacentral:rRNA from 1 species
GAAAGUAAAGAAGGGCGCAUGGCGGAUGCCUUGGCUCUCGGAGGCGAUGAAGGACGUGAUAAGCUGCGAUAAGCUCCGGGGAGGUGCAAAUAACCUUUGAUCCGGGGAUUUCCGAAUGGGACAACCCGGCGUGUUGAAGACACGCCACCUGAUCAUUUCAGGAGCUAACGCAGGGAACUGAAACAUCUUAGUACCUGCAGGAAAAGAAAAUAACAAUGAUUCCCCCAGUAGUGGCGAGCGAACGGGGAAUAGCCCAAACCGUUCAUGUUACGGCAUGAUCGGGGUUGUAGGACUACGUCGUUGCAUGAAGACAUCGGAGAAGAACUUUCUGGAAAGGAAGACCAUAGAGCAUGACAGUUGCGUAUUCGUAUGUUGUCGAAGCAUAGUAGUAUCCUGAGUAGCGCGGAGCACGAGGAAUUCUGCGUGAAUCUGCCGGGACCAUCCGGUAAGGCUAAAUACUCCCGAGAGACCGAUAGCGAACCAGUACUGUGAAGGAAAGGUGAAAAGCACUUCGAAUAGAAGAGUGAAAUAGUCCCUGAAACCGUGCGCCUACAAGCGGUCGGAGCUGCUUCAGCAGUGACGGCGUGCCUUUUGCAUAAUGAACCUACGAGUUACUUUUUCCGGCAAGGUUAAGGAUCUUGAGAUCCGCAGCCGAAGCGAAAGCGAGUCUUAACAGGGCGAUUAGUCGGAAGGAGUAGACGCGAAACCAAGUGAUCUACCCUUGGUCAGGUUGAAGGUUAGGUAACACUAACUGGAGGACCGAACCGAUAAGCGUUGAAAAGCUUCCGGAUGAACUGAGGGUGGGGGUGAAAGGCUAAUCAAACUUGGAGAUAGCUCGUACUCCCCGAAAUGCAUUUAGGUGCAGCCUUGUGGGUUACUGAUGUGAGGUAGAGCGACUGAUAAGAUGCGAGGGCUUCACCGCCUAUCAAGUCUUGAUAAACUCCGAAUGCGCAGUAGUUCGAUCCCAGGAGUGAGGGCAUGGGUGCUAAGGUCCAUGUCCUAAAGGAGAAGAAUCCGGACCAUCAGCUAAGGUCCCGAAAUAAUUGCUAAGUUGAACUAACGAAGUCAGAUUGCUAAGACAGCUAGGAUGUUGGCUUGGAAGCAGCCAUUCAUUUAAAGAGUGCGUAACAGCUCACUAGUCGAGGAGUUUGGCGUGGAUAAUAAUCGGGCAUUAAGCAAUUUACCGAAGCUAUGGGAUCAGUAAUGAUCGGUAGGGGAGCAUUCCACUCUGCGUCGAAGGUGAAGCGUGAGCUUUGCUGGAGCGUGUGGAAAAGCAAAUGUAGGUAUAAGUAACGAUAAAGGGGGUGAGAAACCCCCUCGCCGAAAGACUAAGGUUUCCUGAUCAACGCUAAUCGGAUCAGGGUAAGUCGGGUCCUAAGGCUCAGCCGAAGGGCGAUGCCGAUGGCAGAAACGGUUAAUAUUCCGUUACUACCUCCAGGAGUGAUGUGGAGACGCAGUAGUGACAAUGCCGCCAUCUGACGGAAUAGAUGGUUGAAGGGUGUAGAUGUUGAUCUUGGCAGGCAAAUCCACCAUGAGAAUCGAACCUGAUAGUAUGCCGCGUCCCUCGGGACAAGGCAAUAGUGCAUGUAAUCAUGCUGCCAAGAAAAUCCGCUAAACAAAAUCCUGUAGGUACCCGUACCGUAAACGGACACACGUAGUCGGGAUGAAUAUUCUAAGGCGCUUGAGUGAUUCACGGUUAAGGAACUAGGCAAACUGACCCUGUAACUUCGGGAUAAAGGGUCCCUACCCGGUGACGGGAGGGCGCAGAGAAUAGGUCCAGGCAACUGUUUAACAAAAACACAGGGCUGUGCUAAAUCGAAAGAUCCUGUAUACAGCCUGACACCUGCCCGGUGCUGGAAGGUUAAGAGGAGACGUCAUCGUUGAGAGAAGCGUUGAAUUGAAGCCCCAGUAAACGGCGGCCGUAACUAUAACGGUCCUAAGGUAGCGAAAUUCCUUGUC